UCCUGGUUUCCCAGGCAGUCCCGUCAGAGUGCCUUACUUACGUAAGUAGCAACUGACAGCAAGGGUUGCGCUCGUUACAGGACUUAACCCAACAUCUCACGACACGAGCUGACGACAGCCAUGCAGCACCUGUGCAGUUGUCUUGACCGAAGCCAAGAAGAUCGUGUUUCCACGACGGUCAAAAGCAUGUCAAAUCUAGGUAAGGUUCCUCGCGUAGUGUCGAAUUAAACCACAUGUUCCACCGCUUGUGCGGGCCCCCGUCAAUUUCUUUGAGUUUUAGUCUUGCGACCGUAGUCCCCAGGCGGAUCACUUACCGCGUUAGCUACGAUACUAAUCCUAUAAAUAGAACUAACAUCUAGUGAUCAUCGUUUACAGCGUGGACUAC
rnacentral:misc_RNA from 1 species